rnacentral:rRNA from 1 species
AGAGUUUGAUCCUGGCUCAGGAUGAACGCUAGCUACGGGCUUAACACAUGCAAGUCGAGGGGCAGCAUGGUCUUAGCUUGCUAAGGCCGAUGGCGACCGGCGCACGGGUGAGUAACACGUAUCCAACCUGCCGUCUACUCUUGGACAGCCUUCUGAAAGGAAGAUUAAUACAAGAUGGCAUCAUGAGUUCACAUGUUCACAUGAUUAAAGGUAUUCCGGUAGACGAUGGGGAUGCGUUCCAUUAGAUAGUAGGCGGGGUAACGGCCCACCUAGUCUUCGAUGGAUAGGGGUUCUGAGAGGAAGGCCCCCCACAUUGGAACUGAGACACGGUCCAAACUCCUACGGGAGGCAGCAGUGAGGAAUAUUGGUCAAUGGGCGCAGGCCUGAACCAGCCAAGUAGCGUGAAGGAUGACUGCCCUAUGGGUUGUAAACUUCUUUUAUAAAGGAAUAAAGUCGGGUAUGUAUACCCGUUUGCAUGUACUUUAUGAAUAAGGAUCGGCUAACUCCGUGCCAGCAGCCGCGGUAAUACGGAGGAUCCGAGCGUUAUCCGGAUUUAUUGGGUUUAAAGGGAGCGUAGAUGGAUGUUUAAGUCAGUUGUGAAAGUUUGCGGCUCAACCGUAAAAUUGCAGUUGAUACUGGAUAUCUUGAGUGCAGUUGAGGCAGGCGGAAUUCGUGGUGUAGCGGUGAAAUGCUUAGAUAUCACGAAGAACUCCGAUUGCGAAGGCAGCCUGCUAAGCUGCAACUGACAUUGAGGCUCGAAAGUGUGGGUAGCAAACAGGAUUAGAUACCCUGGUAGUCCACACCGUAAACGAUGAUUACUAGGUGUUGGAGGAUUGACCCCUUCAGUGCCGCAGUUAACACAAUAAGUAAUCCACCUGGGGAGUACGACCGCAAGGUUGAAACUCAAAGGAAUUGACGGGGGCCCGCACAAGCAGUGGAGUAUGUGGUUUAAUUCGACGCAACGCGAAGAACCUUACCAAGUCUUGACAUCCCUUGACAGGCAUAGAAAUAUGUUUUCUCUUCGGAGCAAGGAGACAGGUGGUGCAUGGUUGUCGUCAGCUCGUGUCGUGAGAUGUUGGGUUAAGUCCCGCAACGAGCGCAACCCUUAUGGUCAGUUACUACGCAAGAGGACUCUGGCCAGACUGCCGUUGACAAAACGGAGGAAGGUGGGGAUGACGUCAAAUCAUCAUGCCCUUUAUGACUUGGGCUACACACGUACUACAAUGGCGUUAAACAAAGAGAAGCAAGACCGCGAGGUGGAGCAAAACUCAGAAACAACGUCCCAGUUCGGACUGCAGGCUGCAACUCGCCUGCACGAAGUCGGAAUUGCUAGUAAUCGUGGAUCAGCAUGCCACGGUGAAUACGUUCCCGGGCCUUGCACUCACCGCCCGUCAAG